GGCGGACGUGGCCAAGUGGAUUAAGGCAGUGGAUUGUGAA
rnacentral:tRNA from 5 species